CUCCAAGCUCAGGAAUUCUGCCCUGCUGGGAACCAAGUGAGCGCAGCUGAAGCAGUCACUCCAUGGCCGCAACACUGAUGAAGAGUGGGAGAAGAAGCAGCCAUUAGGGACGUGGAAAUCAGAGAGGGAACGGAGAAACAAAGCAGAAGAACAGAUCGUUCACCAUCGGAACACUGAGAGCGACGAUACUGUCGAAAACUUCGAGAAAUGUGGCUCCAGGAUAACAUCCCAUUUACC